rnacentral:rRNA from 1 species
CUACGGGUCGCUGCAGUGGGGAAUAUUGCACAAUGGAGGAAACUCUGAUGCAGCAACGCCGCGUGGAGGAUGACACUUUUCGGAGCGUAAACUCCUUUUAUAUAGGAAGAUAAUGACGGUACUAUAUGAAUAAGCACCGGCUAACUCGCGUGCCAGCAGCCGCGGUAAUACGGAGGGUGCAAGCGUUACUCGGAAUCACUGGGCGUAAAGAGCGUGUAGGCGGGUUAAUAAGUCAGAAGUGAAAUCCUAUGGCUCAACCAUAGAACUGCUUUUGAAACUGUUAACCUAGAGUGUGGGAGAGGUAGGUGGAAUUUCUGGUGUAGGGGUAAAAUCCGUAGAGAUCAGAAGGAAUACCGAUUGCGAGGGCGAUCUACUGGAACAUAACUGACGCUGAGACGCGAAAGCGUGGGGAGCAAACAGGAUUAGAUACCCCAGUAGUC